rnacentral:tRNA from 1 species
GCCUGGGUGGCUCAGUCGGUUGAGCGUCCGACUUCAGCUCAGGUCACGAUCUCGCGGUCCGCGAGUUCGAGCCCCGUGUCAGGCU